UGAAUUUCACGUAAGUGUGACCAACACUGAAGUUUCAAUUUUCUCCUGUAAAAGGAAAUACUGCUGUAGUUCAGAGGGGAGAAGUUAUUUGUAAAAGGCGUAACAUUAAAGUAAUGAAAUUCUAAAACCAUUUCGCCCGCAGUUUGACGAGGUCUGCAAACCCGAGCUGGGGCCUGUGCUUGCCAGAAGAGCCAGGAUGUUUUGGGCCCUCACGCUCUGGGCUGAACUGCGUGGGUGCUUAGGAAGGUCCACUGGAGGAAUACUAACUGCUCAUCAGAUGUCUAAAGGGAGAACUUUUGCAGCAAACUAUCAGACUCUCCAGAUGCUGACCCUGUCAAUUGUGACCAUAUCACAAAAGCAACUGCCACUGAAGGCCCUGCCCAAGUGAUCUCUGACCACAACAGACCCUCCACUGCAUGAACAUAAGAAGCAAGAAAGAGAGCAAGCAAACAAGCACAUAAGCAGGG